GAUGAAGAACGUAGCGAAAUGCGAUAAAUAAUGUGAAUUGCAGAAUUCAGUGAAUCAUCGAGUCUUUGAACGCACAUUGCGCCCCCUGGUAUUCCGGGGGGCAUGCCUGUCCGAGCGUCAUUGCUGCCCUCAAGCACGGCUUGUGUGUUGGGCCCCCGUCCCCGGUUUCCCCCGGGGACGGGCCCGAAAGGCAGCGGCGGCACCGCGUCCGGUCCUCGAGCGUAUGGGGCUUUGUCACCCGCUCUGUAGGCCCGGCCGGCGCCAGCCGACACCCAACUUUAUUUCUAAGGUUGACCUCGGAUCAGGUAGGGAUACCCGCUGAACUUAAGCAUAUCAAUAAGCGGAGGA
rnacentral:misc_RNA from 1 species